AUGGUACUUGACCUGUAAUUAAACAAGACAACACACCCGUCACUAAAUACAAAAACAAGGACACUGAUAAACUUCACGUCAGUUUAUUUAACUAAAUAUUACGGCUUUAUACAUGAUGACACUCAAAAGAAAUUAGAUUUUAUGAAAAUGGAGACCAAUAUGGAGUGCCGAGGAGAAUGCCAAAUGGUGGAAGCAUUGUUUUUUUCUGUGCAAGCUGUCCAUGGAUGUGAUCAUUAGGAUUGUGUGCAAAAGGCCUUCUACACAGACUGAUCAAGAUACCUGACAACUGUCAACUCCUCCAGACUGACCUAGACUCCCUCAUAUAAUGGGAAACUGUAUGGCAAACAGACUUCAGGCUUGAUGAAAGCAAAACUACAUUUCACUUACUUAGAAACACCCAUAGAAUCCCCAUACUCAUCUCAACAGCUACCCAACACACCACACAAAUACGUAGGCAUCACACUACACACCAACAUGAACUUCAACACAUAGACAAUAUACAAUACGGAGCAAAUAGAACACUGGGGUAGACCGCACUUGUCCAUCCAAAACUGCAGUAUUGCACAGCAGUGUGGAACCCACUCACACAAGCAAAUAUUAACCCAAAACUGAUGGGCAUGGCAUAUACGUACAUGACAUGCCCACUGUGAGUUUACUUUAUUAAUUGUUUUUACACAUAGUUGGCUCCACUUGUACUAAGUCACCAAUGAGCCUAUUUUGAGUACUGAAUGUCUCACCAUUUUACCCUUUUCCUUAUUUUCACAAAUAUUUUAUGUUAUGUUAUAUUGCUGUCACAUAGUCUACUAACUUAUUUCUUUGUGGCUAAGCAAUUGCAGAGCCAUCUAUGUGCAGACAUUUCACACACACAAAAAUCUAAAAUGAGCACUGCAUUUUCCUGGGUUAAUAAACUGGAAAAGAUAAACACUGUCUCAGCCAUGUUCAUUACAAACAAUUACACCAUAAUUCCUGGUAUCCAAACACAUGUCAAACAACAAUUAAAUAAAGAUGCUCUCACAAUAUGCAAACAAGCACAUAGAUUAACAACUAUUUUCAGAAUCACAAAGAACCAAAUUGACAUAAAUGAAUAAUAUUACUUACACCACGCAAACACAACUAAUGCAUGUGAUGCUUACAGUAAACCAGAAGUACAUGACAUACCACACUAGUACAGAUUCCUUCAAACACUCAUACUUUCCACAAUGCAUUAUACAUGCAAACAAAGUAGACACCUUCCACCAACCUAUACAUGCACAUCUCAGAACACAUACAUAAACACCAAUGAUUAGCCACCCUUUCCCCCCUUUUUCCCCAACAUCCAAUGUCCUUUUAAGCAUGAUAUGCACUAACAUAUAUUGCCCUAUGCUUUAAUUAAUUUAAGAUUGAGAAGAAAGAACUACUGCUAUUUUGGAAAUACUCUAAACAAAGUAGUAAAACAUGAUUUUUUUCGCUGUAUCUCAGACAAAAGGGUUGGAAAUAGUCUAUGAAUAUAUGAGCACUG